GGAAAAACUCAGCUACUCAUUAAAUGUGUUGUAAAUAUACCUUCGUUUUAACUUAACACCUGAUACUCUUUUUAUGUGCAUCACCAACUCAAAUUUGAGUUGCCGAAAUACAGAAGUAGCUAAAAAAUUAAUGUCGUUUAGGCAAUUCUGUAUAAAAAGUUGUUGUUGUUGGAAUUUCAUUGAAAAGGGAUGCCAAUUGCCAAAGCAAAUUGCAAAAGCUUUCCGAGGUCGAUGGUGGCAGUAAGUUACCACCGCAAGUUAAAACUGAAAGAAUUUCGUUUUGAAUUGUUUCUGAAGUCGCUAAGUUGAAACAUAAUUUGAUUGGACGUUUGCUGAUUGUUUUUAUUUUUGGGUUCCGAUUAAUUUAAAUAUCGGAAAUCGACAAAAUAAUCGGUGUUCGACAAGCGCCGCCGUUCUCAAGUUAAGAUUCGCUGAACAAGGAUCAGGAAAAGUUUUUGAUGCAUAAAGCGACGAAAAGGAAAACGAUCCAAAAAUAAUGGAUUUCCUCAUGAUACCUAAAAAAAUUCAGAACUCGCGGAAAAUAUGACCUGGAUGGAAGGCGCUUAUAAAAACUAUACAGGCUACGACUCCUACCGAUAGUGCGGAUGAAGAAAAACAGGAUCGGUUUUUUUUCUACGUUGACUAUCGGAGCGUAAAGAUGAGGUGUGAAGCGAAGCGGUGUAACAAGUCUGUCGGGCGUAACGAUGGAACCAUAAAUCAAUUGCUGGAGGAUACGUUCGACGGGCACCGGAUAAUCAUGCAAGAACGAUCCGCCAAUCAUGGCCAAGUGCUUUUGAAUUUAGAAUUAUUAUUUUGUUUUAUUUUAAUAUCUAAAUAUUUUGCAAUGUAAUGUACUAUUGUUAAAAUGUAUAUCUAUAAAUACAGAUGAAUAAGCUUGUAAAAUUAUUUGAAAGAAAUCCAAUCCUUAAAAUUAAUUUUGGGUGCAAAAACUUAUUAUUGAAUUACUGGCAUCCCUUCAAAAUAUACAGAAUUGACUAAUCUGGCUGAAAGCUCAAAAUGAAUAAAAGCUUUUUGCUCACGCUCUGCGUAAAGCGCCCAAACAUAAAACUAAG